UCAGAGAAAAAUUUUGGUUGAUGGUUUGA
rnacentral:piRNA from 1 species